UCUUCAUCCUGUAUGCAUGAGAGAGAGAGGGAAAGGAAGAGAAAAGGAAAUAAAAAAAAAAAGAGAGAAGGAGAAGAAGAAAAAGAGAAGUGAGGAUCUUCAACUACCCGACGAGCCGAACGAUCCUCCACGCGCGUUGGAUGUUUCCGGCGCAGCUAGUUAUAGAAAAAGGUGUAUUAAAUAGCCAUGGAAGGAUUUGAGAUCUAGCUUGGAAUUGAUUGUGUGGAAACCAAAUAGAAGGUAACACUAACGCGUUGGAAAGCUCGGAUCGGCGUUCCGACGAGCCUACGGCACGCUAAUAAGGAAAACCUCAUUUUAGCUUCGUUUGUCGCGAGCGAGGAUCGUGAUGGUUCAUAAAUCGCGGGAAGUGGAUUUCUCGCAUUUCGGCAUCAUUUAAAGGUGG